AACAAACAUUGCUCCAGUCAUUAAUACUGUAGAACUGCACAAAGAGACCUCAGUCAUGAUGGGGUAAAGACAGAGACAGUACAAUGCAAGAAUUCCAUAUUAACAAAAUGUUUCAUUACACUCAUCAUACUCAAAUAGAUUUCCCGUGUAAUGAAUAGGUAUCAAUGUAAUUUUAAGCCCAAAUCCAACAUAGAGGAGGUUAAAUCGAUUACAUUUUGUAAGAAAGAUAAUAGUUACAUUUUAGUAUAUAAAACCACACAAUCACUGUUUUUUUUUUUUAAAAUAACCACUGCAUUGUGUUCAUUAUAGAUCGAUGUUUCUAAUGAUAUACUAGAAUGUAUUUCCUCAGAAUCUAAGUUGAUAGCACAUGCCUGUUUCACCUCUUCCAUUUUGAG